GAUGAACGCUGGCGGCGUGCCUAAUACAUGCAAGUCGAGCGAACGGACGAGAAGCUUGCUUCUCUGAUGUUAGCGGCGGACGGGUGAGUAACACGUGGAUAACCUACCUAUAAGACUGGGAUAACUUCGGGAAACCGUAGCUAAUACCGGAUAAUAUUUUGAACCGCAUGGUUCAAAAGUGAAAGACGGUCUUGCUGUCACUUAUAGAUGGAUCCGCGCUGCAUUAGCUAGUUGGUAAGGUAACGGCUUACCAAGGCAACGAUGCAUAGCCGACCUGAGAGGGUGAUCGGCGACACUGGAACUGAGACACGGUCCAGACGCCUACGGGAGGCAGCAGUAGGGAAUCUUCCGCAAUGGGCGAAAGCCUGACGGAGCAACGCCGCGUGAGUGAUGAAGGUGUUCGGAUCGGAAAACUCUGUUAUUAGGGAAGAACAUAUGUGUAAGUAACUGUGCACAUCUUGACGGUACCUAAUCAGAAAGCCACGGCUAACUACGUG
rnacentral:rRNA from 1 species